GCAAGGCCUGGCGCGAACGGAGCGGCCGAUGUUUGAUUAGCUAGUUGCGGGGUAAAGGCCCACCAAGGCGACGAUCAAUAGCUGGUCUGAGAGGACGACCCAGCCACACUGGAACUGAGACACGGUCCAGACUCCUACGGGAGGCAGCAGUGGGGAAUUUUGGACAAUGGGGGCAACCCUGAUCCAGCCAUGCCGCGUGCGGGAAGAAGGCCUUCGGGUUGUAAACCGCUUUUGUCAGGGAAGAAAAGGGAGGUGUGAAUAAUGCCUUCUGCUGACGGUACCUGAAGAAUAAGCACCGGCUAACUACGUGCC
rnacentral:rRNA from 1 species